UACGUAGGGUGCAAGCGUUGUCCGGAAUUAUUGGGCGUAAAGAGCUCGUAGGCGGUCUGUCGCGUCGGCUGUGAAAUCCCGAGGCUCAACCUCGGGUCUGCAGUCGAUACGGGCAAACUAGAGUAUUGCAGGGGAGACUGGAAUUCCUGGUGUAGCGGUGAAAUGCGCAGAUAUCAGGAGGAACACCAAUGGCGAAGGCAGAUCUCUGGGCCGUAACUGACGCUGAGGAGCGAAAGCAUGGGGAGCGAACAGG
rnacentral:rRNA from 1 species